rnacentral:rRNA from 1 species
CCUACGGGUGGCUGCAGUGGGGAAUUUUCCGCAAUGGGCGAAAGCCUGACGGAGCAAGACCGCGUGAGGGAGGAAGGCUCUUGGGUUGUAAACCUCUUUUCUCAGGGAAUAAUCAAUGAAGGUACCUGAGGAAUCAGCAUCGGCUAACUCCGUGCCAGCAGCCGCGGUAAUACGGAGGAUGCAAGCGUUAUCCGGAAUCAUUGGGCGUAAAGCGUCCGCAGGUGGUAAUUCAAGUCUGCCGUUAAAGAUCCUGGCUCAACUGGGAGAAGGCGGUG